rnacentral:tRNA from 1 species
GGUGGCUCAGUGGUAGAGUGCUUGCCUUGCAUGCAUGAGGCCCUGGGUUCGGUUCCCCAGUACCA